rnacentral:rRNA from 1 species
AGUGAACGCUGGCGGUAGGCCUAACACAUGCAAGUCGAACGGCAGCACAGUAAGAGCUUGCUCUUACGGGUGGCGAGUGGCGGACGGGUGAGGAAUACAUCGGAAUCUACUUUUUCGUGGGGGAUAACGUAGGGAAACUUACGCUAAUACCGCAUACGACCUACGGGUGAAAGCAGGGGAUCUUCGGACCUUGCGCGAUUGAAUGAGCCGAGGUCGGAUUAGCUAGUUGGCGGGGUAAAGGCCCACCAAGGCGACGAUCCGUAGCUGGUCUGAGCGGGUGAUCAGCCACACUGGAACUGAGACACGGUCCAGACUCCUACGGGAGGCAGCAGUGGGGAAUAUUGGACAAUGGGCGCAAGCCUGAUCCAGCCAUGCCGCGUGGGUGAAGAAGGCCUUCGGGUUGUAAAGCCCUUUUGUUGGGAAAGAAAAGCAGCAGGUUAAUACGCCGCUGUUCUGACGGUACCCAAAGAGUAAGCACCGGCUAACUUCGUG